rnacentral:tRNA from 1 species
CAAGAGGUAGUUUAAUUAAAA